CCUGGUUGAUCCUGCCAGUAGUCAUAUGCUUGUCUCAAAGAUUAAGCCAUGCAUGUCUAAGUACAUGCUGAAAUAAGGUGAAACCGCAAAUGGCUCAUUAUCCAGCCAUUGUUCCUUAGAUCACACUUUCCUACUUGGAUAACUGUGUUAAUUCUAGAGCUAAUACAUGCAAAAAAGCUCCGACCUCACGGGACGAGCGCUUUUAUUAGACCAAGACCAAUCAGACUUCGGUCCGCAAAUGAUGGUGACUCUGGAUAACUUUUGGCUGAUUGCACAGUCUAGCACCGGCGAUGCAUCUUUCAAGUGUCUGCCUUAUCAACUGUCAAUGGUAGGUUAUGCACCUACCAUGGUCGUAACGGGUAACGUGGAAUCAAGGUUCAAUUCCGGAGAGGUAGCCUGAGAAAUGGCUACCACAUCCAAGGAAGGCAGCAGGCACGCAAAUUACCCACUCCCAGAACGGAGAGGUAGUGACAAAAAAUAACGAUGCGGGACUCUAUCAAGGCCCCGUAAUUGGAAUGAGUAUACUCUAAAUCCUUUAAGGAGGAUCUAUUGGAGGGCAAGUCUGGUGCUAGCAGCCGUGGUAAUUCCAGCUCCAAUAGCGUAUAUUAAAGUUGUUGUGGUUAAAAAGCUCGUAGUUGGAUCUCAGUUCUAGACUGGCGGUCUGCUUUGGCAAUUACUGCCUAGCCUAAACAUCCUGCCGGUUUUCCCUCAGUGCCCUUGAUUGAGUGUCUUGGUUGGCCGGCACUUUUAAUAUGAAAAAAUUAGAGUGCUCAAAGCAGGCGCAAUGCCUGAAUAAUGGUGCAUGGAAUAAUGGAAUAGGACCUCGGUUCUAUUUUGUGGGUUUUCGGAACACGAGGUAAUGAUUAAGAGGGACAGACGGGGGCAUUCGUACUGCGAUGCUAGAGGUGAUAUUCUUGGACUGUCGCAAGACGAACUACUGUGAAAGCAUUUGCCAAGAAUGUUUUUAUUAAUCAAGAACGAAAGUUAGAGGUUCGAAGGCGAUCAGAUACUGCCCUAGUUCUAAUUAUAAACGAUGCCAACCAGCGAUCCACCUGAGUUCCUCAAACGACUUGGCGGGCAGCUUCCGGGAAACCAAAGAGUUUGGGUUCAGGGGGAAGUAUGGUUGCAAAGCUGAAACUUAAAGGAAUUGACGGAAGGACACCACCAGGAGUGGAGCCUGCGGCUUAAUUUGACUAAAAAAGGCCAGAAGUUUCAAUGGACAGUUUCUUACCAACAUUCUUUCAAGACAUUGAAGGACAAAUUGGCCUCCACUCCACUUUUAAAGCUUCCAGAUCCCUCACUGCCAUACAUACUGGAUUGUGAUGCUAGUAAUAUCGGAAUUGGAGGAGUGUUGUCUCAGAAAGUGGGCGAAAACGAACAUGUGGUGGCCUACUUCAGUAGGGUUUUAAGUAGACCAGAGAGGAACUACUGUGUAACACGGAGGGAACUCCUUGCUAUAGUAAAGAGUCUGACAUAUUUCCACCCUUACCUCUAUGGUGCAAGGUUUACCAUCAGGACAGACCAUGUUGCCUUAAGGUGGUUAAGAUCAUUAAAGAACCCAGAGGGACAACUAGCACGUUGGAUCGGAA
rnacentral:rRNA from 1 species